UCCAGCGUCUUUUCCCAUUUUCCACUGUCACUGAUUUUAGAAAUGGGGCAAUAAUGAUUCCAGACGAGAAAUUUUGCAUUUUGGGGCAUCCUAUCACUUUCAUUCCACUCUUUGGUGCCAUUA